rnacentral:rRNA from 1 species
AUAUUGGACAAUGGGGGAAACCCUGAUCCAGCAAUGCCGCGUGAGUGAUGAAGGCCUUAGGGUUGUAAAGCUCUUUUACCAGGGAUGAUAAUGACAGUACCUGGAGAAUAAGCUCCGGCUAACUCCGUGCCAGCAGCCGCGGUAAUACGGAGGGAGCUAGCGUUGUUCGGAAUUACUGGGCGUAAAGCGCACGUAGGCGGUUACUCAAGUCAGAGGUGAAAGCCCGAGGCUCAACCCCGGAACUGCCUUUGAAACUAGGUAACUAGAAUCCUGGAGAGGUGAGUGGAAUUCCGAGUGUAGAGGUGAAAUUCGUAGAUAUUCGGAAGAACACCAGUGGCGAAGGCGGCUCACUGGACAGGUAUUGACGCUGAGGUGCGAAAGCGUGGGGAGCAAACAG